rnacentral:rRNA from 1 species
AUUGAACGCUGGCGGCAGGCCUAACACAUGCAAGUCGAACGGCAGCACGGAUGCUGCUACCUGUUUCCGAGGGGGAAGGGUGUGUGUAAUAUAUCGACAUAUGUCCUAGAGUGGGGUAAAGUCCGGCAAAAGGCGCAUUUAUACCACAAGCGCUGAGGGGAUAAGUGCGGGAGACUUGGACCUCACGCACUCAGGUGAUCGGAGGUCGGAUUAGCUAGUUGGUGGGGUAAAGGCCUACCAAGGCGACGAUCCGUAGCUGGUCUGAGAGGAGGAGCAGCCACACUGGGACUGAGACACGGUCCAGACUCCUACGGGAGGCAGCAGUGGGGAAUAUUGGACAAUGGGCGAAAGCCUGAUCCAGCAAUGCCGCGUGUGUGAAGAAGGCCUUCGGGUUGUAAAGCACUUUUGUUAGGAAAGAAAGGCAUGAAGUUAAUACCGUGCUGGUAUGACGGUACCAGCAGAAUAAGCACCGGCUAACUUCGUG